rnacentral:lncRNA from 1 species
AAUGAAAUCCACCCAUGAUCAUACAAUUGAAAACCACUAAAAUAUAUGAAGGUAAUAUGUCAUUACAAGCUCCUUAAAUUAAAAUAAAAUAUGUCCAAUAACAAGCAAAUCUAACUGAAAUAGAAGAAAUAUUACUCCUAAACUGAGACUGAAAAGUAGAAGUUUCUUCCAAAGUACCAAUAAUGUGGUGAUACUUAGUUUGCAUUAGUCUUGAUUCAAUUCUCACCUUUUAUACCUGUGUAAAAAAGAGAAAACAAAUUUAUAAGAUUUAAUAUAAAGUAGAAUUUGCAACAUUACAUUAUGUUUUUCAUACAUUGUAAUGCCAAGUUUCUGCAAAGAUAAAUCAAUCAUACAUAAUAUGAAGCUACACAUAUAUACGAACUAUAUCCCCACUGCUAUUUGUGGUGUGCAUGAAGUACAUCACAAGGAAACCAUAUCCCCACUGCUAUUUGUGGUGUGCAUGAAGUACAUCACAAGGCGUUGAUGCUAUGGGUGGCUGAAACUGAAAUACUUUGUUUUGCAGAUAAACAUGCUCAUAUUUUGCAAAGGGAAUAUAACAUAUGUGUUAAUGCCAAUAAGAUCAGGAAUAAAAACAUUCUCAGAGGUCACAUGGCUCACUACAAAUGCUACAAAGUUUAAUGUUUAUACUUCCAUCAUGGGGAAACAAGAGGUAAAUGCUAUAUGUUAAUUGUCUGAAUACGUCAGAGGUAACCACCAAUUAAAUACCUGGGCAUUCCCAUCACUUCUAGAACACUAAAUGCUAUAGAUUGCAAUGUGUUAGUAGGAAAAAUGACAGCCAAGGUGAAAAUUUGAGGCUUGAGGAACCUGUGUUUCCCUAGUAGGCUUCAACUGGUCAAUACCAUGCUGCUGCAUAUACAUGUAUACUGGUCUAUUAUUUUCUCACUGCCUAAACAGGUGUUGAAAGAUAAAAAGCUGUUUGCAGGAAAAAUACACUCCAACAAACAAAAUUCAUGGGCUGAACUGAUCACAAUAAGUAACUUUCAAUAAUUUUCUUCAAUCUAUGCCUAAAAUAUCAAGCAAUGCCCUCACAUUAAGUCACCAAUCCUUCAAUACUUGGGGGUUCAAAGAAUAAAAGAAAUUGCAAUCCAUAAAGUCAUCAGAUACCAAGCAAAUAAUCAAAUUUCACCAACCAAAAGGUCUGUUAAGCUUAUUUAUAUCAUAUCCACAGUUUUCCUUCCACAACCUCCAUAAGAAACCAAUUUUCAAACAUUGAAACAAAUUAAAAACCAGAAAUUGAAGAAAAGCAAUUCUUAUCAAUUUAGGAAGACGAAAUCUGAAAGGUAGGUCGAAACAAAUUGAGUAAUAUGCAGCAGAAUUGGCGAUAAGGGUAUUCCCA